rnacentral:lncRNA from 1 species
CACGGACUGGCUUUGGUGUUCAUGCUGGUUGGGAUGUCUACUAUGGACCUGCUGAGCACAGGGCUGGGUUCCUGGGGCACAGAGUUGAGUAAGUCUCUCGACCCCCUAAGCCUUACUCUGACCAUCUAUGAAAUGGGGAUGAUGACAGACUCUGUCUCAAAGGGGUGAGGGUGAGGCUUAAAUAAGAUGCUGUAAGUCAAAGCCCUCAGCACUUACUAUGGGUGGCAGGAGGGGUAAUGGCCCCAGGAGAACUGGGCUGGGGGCUGCAGGGGGGCCCCACCUCCAGCCCAGCAUGGCUCACAGGACCAGUCUGGGAAGGUGGCUCCAGCCCUUGGCUGCCAGUGCUGUGCCAGCCUCUGGGCAGGGCCACAGGGACUGCUCGGGAGGGCUCCCCCACUCAGUGUUGGGACUCGAGGACAUGGGGUGAGGGUGUCAAUGGGUCCUUAGAAGGGGAAGGGUGGUGGGAGCCUCAGGGAAGGCCAGGCUGACUCUGACCCUCUUUUUCCUAGUGCUUAUGGCCCAGGAACUGCUGGGCCCCAGGACUGGGCGGUUUCCAUGGUUGCUGCCACAGAAGCAGCAUUGCUGGAGUCAGUAGUGUGGCUGCCUUGCCAUGGCCGUGGUGGGUCUGCCUGGGGGUAUCUCAAUCCCGCAGAGUGCCAGGCAACCACUCCAGCCUGCUGUUGAAGGCCCCUGGCCACCCCUGGGUAAGUAAAAGAUGUCAUUUGGCGGUGUGGCAGCGAAGGGGGAGCCAGGCAGAGUACGAGCAAGAAGGUAGUGGCAGGGGGUCGAGGAGGGUGCUAGAAACUGAGUCUGAGGUUCUUAGAUUGGCUCUGCUCUGUGACCUGAAGAAAGCCGCACAACCUCUCUGAGCUUUGAUUUCCUCGUGUGAAACGAGGCUAGCAAUUGUGCAGGAGACAGUGUCUCCAGAUGAGUGCUCUGUAAAUUGAUAACAUGUCAUAAG